rnacentral:rRNA from 1 species
UACGUAGGUGGCGAGCGUUAUCCGGAAUUAUUGGGCGUAAAGAGCGCGCAGGUGGUUGAUUAAGUCUGAUGUGAAAGCCCACGGCUUAACCGUGGAGGGUCAUUGGAAACUGGUCGACUUGAGUGCAGAAGAGGGAAGUGGAAUUCCAUGUGUAGCGGUGAAAUGCGUAGAGAUAUGGAGGAACACCAGUGGCGAAGGCGGCUUCCUGGUCUGUAACUGACGCUGAGGAGCGAAAGCAUGGGUAGCGAACAUGAUUA